GAAGGAAUAGCUCAGUGGUAGAGUGUGUGCUUAGCACACGUGAGGUGCUGGGUUCAAUCCCCAGUACCUCCG
rnacentral:tRNA from 1 species